rnacentral:rRNA from 1 species
ACGGUCCUAAGGUAGCGAAAUUCCUUGUCGGGUAAGUUCCGACCCGCACGAAUGGUGUAACGAUCUGGGCACUGUCUCAACUACCCACCCGGCGAAAUUGUAGUACCGGUGAAGAUGCCGGUUACCUGCGGCAAGACGGAAAGACCCCAUGGAGCUUUACUGUAGCCUGAUAUUGGGUUUCGGAAAUCUAUGUACAGGAUAGGCGGGAGACUGGGAAGUAUGAGCGUCAGCUUAUACGGAGUCGUUGUUGGGAUACCGCCCUUAGGUUUCUGGAAUUCUAACCUGCGACCGUGAAUCCGGUCGGGGGACAUUGUCAGGUGGGCAGUUUGACUGGGGCGGUCGCCUCCGAAAAGGUAACGGAGGCGCUCAAAGGUUGGCUCAGCACGGACGGAAACCGUGCCUCUGAGUGUAAACGCAAAAGCCAGCCUAACUGCGAGGAUGACGGUCCGAGCAGUAACGAAAGUUGGAGUUAGUGAUCCGGCGGUAUGUGAAUGGAAAUGCCGUCGCUCAACGGAUAAAAGCUACCCUGGGGAUAACAGGCUGAUCUCCCCCAAGAGUCCACAUCGACGGGGAGGUUUGGCACCUCGAUGUCGGCUCAUCGCAUCCUGGGGCUGUAUUCGGUCCCAAGGGUUUGGCUGUUCGCCAAUUAAAGCGGUACGCGAGCUGGGUUCAGAACGUCGUGAGACAGUUCGGUCCCUAUCUGUCGUGGGCGUAGGAUAUUUGCAAGGAGCUGUCCCUAGUACGAGAGGACCGGGAUGGACGCACCUCUGGUGCACCAGUUGUCACGCCAGUGGCACAGCUGGGCAGCUAUGUGCGGAACGGAUAAACGCUGAAGGCAUCUAAGCGUGAAGCCGCCCUUAAGAUAAGAUAUCCCUUCUGUUUACAGAGUAAGACCCCUUGAAGACUACAAGGUUGAUAGGCUCAAAGUGUAAGCACGGUGACGUGUUUAGCUAGCGAGUACUAAUCGGUCGAGGGCUUAACCU